UAUAGAUAGGGAAUUAAAGCAAGUGUGAGUCAAUGUAAAACUGCUUGAUGACCUUACCCACCAGGCCAAGGGAGAAGAAUUCCACACGUCGUUUGGUGCAGUCUGUGACUUGACUUCAUUUGAGUAAAACGUCAACCUGUUACUGUGCCAGGAAUUGCAUACCUUUCUCCUCUCUUUCCUCCUACGAGAUAUUCCUUAACAGCUGUCCCUUCUGCCCUAACGUUGCUUCAAGUGGUUUGUUGUCAAAGUUUGUUAAUUGGUAAUAGGUCCAAUGAGGUACAUUGGGACAUUAAAGGCCAGAUGCAAAUACUGGUUGUUUUGUUUCUUGUUUGUUAUGUGCUUACUGUUUGUCCUUUCCUCCCCGAUCUGCACACUUUGUAGAUCAAAUACAAGGAAAAUGUUGGUCAAGGAACUGCAAUCUCCGACCUGCCUGAGGUGCAGCGUGUGAAGGAGACACAGAAGAACAUCAGCUCGAUCAAAUACAAGGAAAAUGUUGGUCAAGGAACAGCAAUCUCUGACCUGCCUGAGGUGCAGCGUGUGAAGGAAACACAGAA